rnacentral:SRP_RNA from 1 species
GCCGGGCACGGUGGCGUGUGCCUGUAAUCCCAGCUACUCAGGAGGCUGAGGCAGGAGAAUCGCUUGAACCUGGGAGGCAGAGGUUGCAGUGAGCCGAGAUCACACCACUGCAUUCCAUCCUGGGUGACAGAGCAAGACUCUGUCUUAA